rnacentral:rRNA from 1 species
UACGGGGGGGGCAAGCGUUGUUCGGAAUUACUGGGCGUAAAGGGCGCGUAGGCGGCCUGCUAAGUCGGACGUGAAAUCCCUCGGCUCAACCGGGGAACUGCGUCCGAUACUGGCGAGGCUUGAAUCCGGGAGAGGGAUGUGGAAUUCCAGGUGUAGCGGUGAAAUGUGUAGAUAUCCGGAGGAACACCGGUGGCGAAGGCGGCUUCCUGGACCGACACUGACGCUGAGGCGCGAAAGCUAGGGGAGCAAACGGG